rnacentral:rRNA from 1 species
AGCCGCCGCGGUAACACCGGCAGCUCUAGUGGUAGCAGUUUUAUGGGCCUAAAGCGUCCGUAGCCGGUUUAAUAAGUCUCUGGUGAAAUCCUGUAGCUUAACUGUGGGAAUUGCUGGAGAUACUAUUAGACUUGAGACCGGGAGAGGUUAGAGGUACUCCCAGGGUAGAGGUGAAAUUCUGUAAUCCUGGGAGGACCGCCUGUUGCGAAGGCGUCUAACUGGAACGGUUCUGACGGUGAGGGACGAAAGUUAGGGGCGCGAACCGGAUUAGAUACCCGGGUAGUCCUAACCGUAAACGAUGCGGACUUGGUGUUGGGGUGGCUUUGAGCUGCUCCAGUGCCGAAGGGAAGCUGUUAAGUCCGCCGCCUGGGAAGUACGGUCGCAAGACUGAAACUUAAGGAAUUGGCGGGGGAGCACCACAACGCGUGGAGCCUGCCGGUUUAAUUGGAUUCAACGCCGGACAUCUCACCAGAGGCGACAGCUGUAUGAUAGCCAGGCUGAUGACUUUGCUUGACUAGCUGAGGGGAGGUGCAUGG